CUAUUCUUCUUCUUGUUCAUUUGUGCUUGAAGCAGCAGCUACAGCCACCCUCAGCCACCGUCAUCCACCGUCGUCUCUCUUGGUUUCCUUCACCAUCAGUGAGCUUCAUCAUCGCAGGCAGAGCAGCAGCCGCCACCGUCAGCUUCUGAAGUCGGAGAAGAAACCAUCGUCAGAGAAAGGUACUCUGUCAUGCCUACCGGAUAUUUUUAUCCGUAAUUCAUUAUUGAGUUCUGCACGUUUUUAUUCGUAAUUUACUAUUACAUUUCGGAUAUUUUUAUCCGCAGUUCAGGACUGGGUUCCAGAUAUUUUUAUUCGCAGUUGAGCACUUGACUUCCAGAUUUUUUUAUUCGCAGUUGUGGAAGAAUGGCUUCUGGAUAUUUUUAUCCGCAGUUGAGCACUUGACUUCCGGAUUUUUUUAUCCGCAGUUGUGGAAGAAUGGCUUCUGGAUAUUUUUAUCCGUAGUGAGCACUUGACUUCCAGAUUUUUUUAUCCGCAGUUGUGGAAGAAUGGCCUCCGGAUAUUUUUAUCUGCAGUUGUGGAAGAAUGGCCUCCGGAUAUUUUUAUCCGCAAGAGACAUUUGACUUGCGGAUAAUUUUUUCCGUAGUGUUAUUGUUGUUCUGCGCAAGACAAGGGCAUAAUGGGAUUUUAAAAAGUUUGUCGGGUGCCAGUCACAGUUGAUCGGGUGCAGGAAGCAAUUGCCUUUAUUUUGUAUGUUAUUUUACGUUAGAAGUAAAAUUAGUUAUGUAAAAAAACCAACAUAUUUUCAUUUUCUUGUCCUCCGAGCACUCAUUCAACCACACUCUUGGGCUCUCUGCUCUAUCUAUCUAUCUUUACCAUAACUUCCAAAUCCAAGUUCCAUGCUC
rnacentral:lncRNA from 1 species